AGAGUUUGAUCCUGGCUCAGGAUGAACGCUAGCGGCAGGCUUAACACAUGCAAGUCGAGGGGCAGCGGGGAGUAGCAAUACUCCGCCGGCGACCGGCGCACGGGUGCGUAACGCGUAUGCAACCUACCUUUAACAGGGGCAUAACACUGAGAAAUUGGUACUAAUUCCCCAUAACAUUCGAGAAGGCAUCUUCUUGGGUUAAAAACUCCGGUGGUUAAAGAUGGGCAUGCGUUGUAUUAGCUAGUUGGUGAGGUAACGGCUCACCAAGGCAACGAUACAUAGGGGGACUGAGAGGUUAACCCCCCACAUUGGUACUGAGACACGGACCAAACUCCUACGGGAGGCAGCAGUGAGGAAUAUUGGUCAAUGGACGCAAGUCUGAACCAGCCAUGCCGCGUGCAGGAAGACGGCUCUAUGAGUUGUAAACUGCUUUUGUACUAGGGUAAACGCUCCUACGUGUAGGAGUCUGAAAGUAUAGUACGAAUAAGGAUCGGCUAACUCCGUGCCAGCAGCCGCGGUAAUACGGAGGAUCCAAGCGUUAUCCGGAUUUAUUGGGUUUAAAGGGUGCGUAGGCGGUUUGAUAAGUUAGAGGUGAAAUACCGGGGCUCAACUCCGGAACUGCCUCUAAUACUGUUGAACUAGAGAGUAGUUGCGGUAGGCGGAAUGUAUGGUGUAGCGGUGAAAUGCUUAGAGAUCAUACAGAACACCGAUUGCGAAGGCAGCUUACCAAACUAUAUCUGACGUUGAGGCACGAAAGCGUGGGGAGCAAACAGGAUUAGAUACCCUGGUAGUCCACGCAGUAAACGAUGAUAACUCGUUGUCGGCGAUACACAGUCGGUGACUAAGCGAAAGCGAUAAGUUAUCCACCUGGGGAGUACGUUCGCAAGAAUGAAACUCAAAGGAAUUGACGGGGGCCCGCACAAGCGGAGGAACAUGUGGUUUAAUUCGAUGAUACGCGAGGAACCUUACCCGGGCUUGAAAGUUAGUGACGAUUCUGGAAACAGGAUUUCCCUUCGGGGCACGAAACUAGGUGCUGCAUGGUUGUCGUCAGCUCGUGCCGUGAGGUGUCGGGUUAAGUCCCAUAACGAGCGCAACCCCUACCGUUAGUUGCCAUCAGGUCAAGCUGGGCACUCUGGCGGGACUGCCGGUGUAAGCCGAGAGGAAGGUGGGGAUGACGUCAAAUCAGCACGGCCCUUACGUCCGGGGCUACACA
rnacentral:rRNA from 1 species